rnacentral:rRNA from 1 species
UGGGGAAUAUUGCGCAAUGGGGGCAACCCUGACGCAGCCAUGCCGCGUGUGUGAAGAAGGCCUUCGGGUUGUAAAGCACUUUAAGUGGGGAGAAAAGGGUAGGCGCUAAUAACGGUUACCUGUGAUAUUACCCACAGAAUAAGCACCGGCUAACUCCGUGCCAGCAGCCGCGGUAAUACGGAGGGUGCGAGCGUUAAUCGGAAUUACUGGGCGUAAAGCGCGCGUAGGCGGUUUGUUAAGUCAGCUGUGAAAGCCCCGGGCUCAACCUGGGAACUGCAGUUGAUACUGUCCGACUAGAGUACGAGAGAGGGAGGUAGAAUUCCAUGUGUAGCGGUGAAAUGCGUAGAUAUAUGGAGGAAUACCGGUGGCGAAGGCGGCCUCCUGGCUCGAUACUGACGCU